CUUUAAUGUGUUUUAAAAUGCUGUGUAGACAAACUGUGAGAAUGAUUUUAGGAUACUGUGUUCUAUUUGCUCUAAUAUCAUAUUCUUAUGGACAGUCCCUGACCUCGUCUGCUUCUGUGGUGAAGAAACCAGGAGAGUCGGUCACUCUGUCCUGCACUGUGUCUGGGCUCUCGCUUGCCUGGUUGCACUGGAUCCGUCAGAAACCAGGACAAGGACUGGAGUGGAUCGGGCGCAUUGAUAGUGGCACUGGCACCGUGUUCGCUCAGUCUCUACAGGGCCAGUUCUCCAUCAAUAAAGACACCAAUAAAAACUUGCUGUACCUAGAAGUGAAGAGUCUGAAAGCUGAAGACACGGCAGUUUAUUACUGUGCAAAAGAGACACACUGACACAACAGGCUCCAGAGCUGUACAAAAACUUACAGAAGCACAUCCUGGUGAGCUGUAAAUAUUCCCUCAGCAGGAAGCAGCACCCCAGUGACAAUAUCUACU